GCUGUCUUCUCACUUCUUUUCUAUAUAUUCACAGCUGUUCUAAAAAUAAAGAUAAGCCUGGAAGAAAAGCCUGGGAUUCCAGCUGUACCAGGGCUAUGGGAUUGCAGGCCAGAGUCCUCCAAACUAGAGAGGAAGGAGGCCCCUGAACCCGGCAGAGCAACUGCUCCAUAGAAGAGGCUCCAGGAAUGUUGUAGAACAAAUUGGCUGUCACAGGCGGCGCUUUCUGUCAUCCCCAAACGAAGACAAAGCUCGAGCCAGUGGACUGGAGACCCAGGUCUUUGCUGUAUUUCUCAAUUUGUCCAGGAUGACAUCGAUGGCCUUGAACCUGUGAUCCUUCUGCCUUGAUCUGCUGAGUAGCUGGAACUUCAGAUGGACACCAUACCCUGCUUUGUGUUUGUUCCCUCAAGCCGAGGAUCAAAGACAGGUGUACUCUGCCCCUGAGCUAUACCCUGACCCCAUCUGUAAUCCACGCUAAGAAAGAAGAGUUGGCUUGGAUCAAAGAGCAAAAACGAACUGUGUCAAGCGGGUGUGGAGGAGGCUGUUCCCUAUAAUAGGGGAAGAAGAGCCCGUAAGAAGAAAAGAACCUUGGAGCAAGAGCCCGUGCUGUUGGUGACUGACCUAUAGUGGUGCAUGUAUUCACAUGUAUGGGCAUUCUCACACAGACAGACAUACAGACAGACAUGUGGAAGUGUGCCUCCCCUAAUCACUGGGUCAGGACAGGAUGACUAGGCUGUGUCUCCUUUCAUACAUAUACAGGAUGCCCCCAGGUAACAGCCACACCAGGGCAGUUGGUUGUGUUGAUGCUGGGAGCCGUGUGUGGUGUGGGACACUUAAGAAACAAAGCUUAAUGAAACUGGCAAGGCUCCUCAGUCCAAGCUGGGUGGUGGUGGCACACGCCUUUAAUCCCAGCACUCAGGAGGCAGAGGCAGGCGGAUCUCUGAGUUCGAGGCCAGCCGGGUCUACAAGAGCUAGUUCCAGGACAGGCUCCAAAGCUACAGAGAAACUCUGUCUCGAAAAACCGAAAUAAAUAAACAAACAAAAUAAGAGUCCUCAGUCCAACCCAAGUACACCGCUGAAGUACCUGCCACGAGCACCCACCAGGAGCUCUGGAGCUGCAGGUUGAAGCUCUAGCUAAAGCAAGGCACUACACAAGGCAAUGGUAUCGAUCAAUUUCUCCUGGAGUGCCUUCCAAAGAGAGGCUGGGUCACCUCAGAGACCGAGUGUGCUGUAACAGGCUAUGCAUACAGUCCUGUGAGCAGCUGCUGGAAGCUAGCUUGUGUGUGGACCAGUAGCCCUGUAUCCUUGAGAUCUGGGAGUUAGUAAAACUUCUGUACUGUGGAAAUUUUCCUGGCAGGUCUCACUUACAGAUUCACACAAGAUCACAUUUCCCAUGGGGGGAAGAUCUAGAACCCAGAUGAAAGUCGAUAUGACCUGGGGACUAAUCAGGGUUGUUGAUUUGUUGUGGUAACCAGAUGUCCCAGGCUUUUCACUGGACUGAUUUCCAAGGCCAUCUCGGGAAUAUUUUUUUUCAUAAACGUUUUGUCUUGGGGGCUGGAGAGAUGGGUCCACUCUAUUUGGAUGCCCAGACACCAUUCAGGCUCAUAGCUGCUGGAAAUGAAUAUAGUUUGAUUUGUUUUGAACUGAUGGAGCCAAACAAAGCGCUUAGGCUCUGUGCGACUGCUUCUUUUGCAGACCGUCCGU